rnacentral:rRNA from 1 species
UGCGUAGGCGGAAUAUUAAGUCGGUGGUGAAAUCCUGCGGCUCAACCGUAGAACUGCCAUUGAUACUGAUAUUCUUGAAUGUAGUUGAGGUAGGCGGAAUGUGUAAUGUAGCGGUGAAAUGCUUAGAUAUUACACAGAACACCGAUUGCGAAGGCAGCUUACUAAACUAUGAUUGACGCUGAGGCACGAAAGCGUGGGGAGCGAACAGGAUUAGAUACCCUGGUAGUCC